GUCUUUUUGAGAAUGAUUUAAGGUCUAAUCUGCUCAAUGAAAAUUAAAUAGCUGCAGUAUUUUAACUGUGCGAAGGUAGCGUGAUAAUUAGUUUCUUAAUUAGGAACUUGUAUGAAUGAUUUGACAAGAAAAUUUCUGUCUCUUUUUAAUUGUUUAUUAAUUUAACCUUUAAGUUAAAAGGCUUAAUUGAAUUUAAAAGACGAGAAGACCCCAUAGAGUUUGAUUUUUAUUUUAUUUUUAGAAUAAUUUUAUAAACAAAAAAUUGGUUGGGGUAACUUAAAGAUUAAAUAAAUUCUUUAAAUAUAAAAUCAUUGAUUUAUGAAUUUAAAAUCUAAAUUAUUAAAUUUAAAUAAAGUUACCUUGGGGAUAACAGCGUAAUUUCUUUUUAGAGUUCUUAUCAAAUAAGAAGAUUGCGACCUCGAUGUUGGAUUAAAAUUAAGUUUAGGUGUAGAAGCUU
rnacentral:rRNA from 1 species